rnacentral:rRNA from 1 species
UACGGGGGGGGCAAGCGUUGUUCGGAAUUACUGGGCGUAAAGGGCUCGUAGGCGGCCAACUAAGUCAGACGUGAAAUCCCCCGGCUUAACCGGGGAACUGCGUCUGAUACUGGAUGGCUUGAAUCCGGGAGAGGGAUGUGGAAUUCCAGGUGUAGCGGUGAAAUGCGUAGAUAUCUGGAGGAACACCGGUGGCGAAGGCGGCAUCCUGGACCGGCAUUGACGCUGAGGAGCGAAAGCCAGGGGAGCAAACGGG